CAAUAGCGUAUAUUAAAGUUGUUGCGGUUAAAAAGCUCGUAGUUGGAUUUCUGCCGAGGACGACCGGUCCGCCCUCUGGGUGAGUAUCUGGCUCGGCCUGGGCAUCUUCUUGGAGAACGUAGCUGCACUUGACUGUGUGGUGCGGUAUCCAGGACUUUUACUUUGAGGAAAUUAGAGUGUUUCAAGCAGGCACACGCCUUGAAUACAUUAGCAUGGAAUAAUAAGAUAGGACCUCGGUUCUAUUUUGUUGGUUUCUAGAGCUGAGGUAAUGAUUAAUAGGGAUAGUUGGGGGCAUUCGUAUUUAACUGUCAGAGGUGAAAUUCUUAGAUUUGCUGAAGAUGAACAACUGCGAAAGCAUUUACCAAGGAUGUUUUCAUUAA
rnacentral:rRNA from 1 species